rnacentral:rRNA from 1 species
CCUACGGGAGGCAGCAGUGGGGAAUCUUGCGCAAUGGGCGAAAGCCUGACGCAGCCAUGCCGCGUGAAUGAUGGAGGUCUUAGGAUUGUAAAGUUCUUUAGCCUGUGACGAUGAUGACGGUAACAGGAGAAUAAGCCCCGGCUAACUUCGUGCCAGCAGCCGCGGUAAUACGAAGGGGGCUAGCGUUGUUCGGAAUUACUGGGCGUAAAGCGCGCGUAGGCGGUUUUACAAGCCAGAGGUGAAAUGCCUGAGCUUAACUUGGGAAUUGCCUUUGGAACUGUAUGACUUCGAGGACGAGAGAGGUGAGUGGAAUUCCCAGUGUAGAGGUGAAAUUCGUAGAUAUUGGGAAGAACACCGGUGGCGAAGGCGGCUCACUGGCUCGUUUCUGACGCUGCAGCGCGAAAGCGUGGGGAUCAAACAGGAUUAGAUACCCUGGUAGUCCACACUGUAAACGAUGCGAACUAGCUUUUUGGCUUUAGAGUUGAGGGGCUAAGGGAAACCGAUAAGUUCGCCACCUGGGGAGUACGCCGGCAACGGUGAAACUCAAAGGAAUUGACGG